rnacentral:rRNA from 1 species
GCCACACUGGGACUGAGACCCGGCCCAGACUCCCACGGGAGGCAGCAGUGGGGAAUCUUCCGCAAUGGGCGAAAGCCUGACGGAGCAAUGCCGCGUGAGUGAUGAAGGUUUUCGGAUCGUAAAGCUCUGUUGCCAGGGAAGAACGCUUGGGAGAGUAACUGCUCUCAAGGUGACGGUACCUGAGAAGAAAGCCCCGGCUAACUACGUGCCAGCAGCCGCGGUAAUACGUAGGGGGCAAGCGUUGUCCGGAAUUAUUGGGCGUAAAGCGCGCGCAGGCGGUCAUUUAAGUCUGGUGUUUAAUCCCGGGGCUCAACCCCGGAUCGCACUGGAAACUGGGUGACUUGAGUGCAGAAGAGGAGAGUGGAAUUCCACGUGUAGCGGUGAGAUGCGUAGAUAUGUGGAGGAACACCAGUGGCGAAGGCGACUCUCUGGGCUGUAACUGACGCUGAGGCGCGAAAGCGUGGGGAGCAAACAGGAUUAGAUACCCUGGUAGUCCACGCCGUAAACGAUGAGUGCUAGGUGUUAGGGGUUUCGAUACCCUUGGUGCCGAAGUUAACACAUUAAGCACUCCGCCUGGGGAGUACGGUCGCAAGACUG